CUGGUGGGUGGCGGCGGUGGACGCGGUGGUGCUGCUGCUGUCGCUGCUGGUGAUCUGGCGGGUGUCCGGCUUCAUCAGCCGGCCGCUGGU
rnacentral:tRNA from 1 species